GACGAACGCUGGCGGCGUGCUUAACACAUGCAAGUCGAACGGAAAGGCCCUGCUUUUGUGGGGUGCUCGAGUGGCGAACGGGUGAGUAACACGUGAGUAACCUGCCCCUGACUUUGGGAUAACUUCAGGAAACUGGGGCUAAUACCGGAUAGGAGCUCCUGCUGCAUGUUGGGGGUUGGAAAGUUUCGGCGGUUGGGGAUGGACUCGCGGCUUAUCAGCUUGUUGGUGGGGUAGUGGCUUACCAAGGCUUUGACGGGUAGCCGGCCUGAGAGGGUGACCGGCCACAAUGGGACUGAGAUACGGCGCAGACUCCUACGGGAGGCAGCGGUGGGGAAUAUUGCACAAUGGGCGGAAGCCUGAUGCAGCAGCGCCGCGUGCGGGAUGACGGCCUUCGGGUUGUAAACCGCUUUCGCCUGUGACGAAGCGUGAUUGACGGUAAUGGGUAAAGAAGCACCGGCUAACUACGUG
rnacentral:rRNA from 1 species